AAUAUUAUCCACCGGUGUCUACCGCGGUAAAUGAAAUACUUCAUUUUGACAUUUUCAGAUACAUUUUUGUGUAGCAUGCUUUGUCACGCGUUGGGUGCGUUCAGUGCUGCCGUUGUUGCAGCACUUUGUGAACGCACCCUAGAAAUGUCAGUUUGACAAAUGGUCACCAGUGAACGUAUCCCAGGAAUGUCAUCUUGACAAACAGAUUUUGAUGUUUUCGUAUAUGUUUUGUUGUCCGAUAUGUAGUUUUCAUUUGCUACUAAAAUUAAUGGUACAAACUUUUCACUGGGAGUGGGACAUUUUUGCUCUGCUGAAAUCGAAAUCGCAUUAUUUUUAUGUGUAACAUACAAACCGAAGUCUCACCUGUCAACACGACAAAGGUCCACCUCGGAGAUCGCGACACGAACCGGAAUCCACCGCCACGAGACCGCGGGAUUAGCUGAGUUUGCCUGAAGGGACCGCUCAAGAGUUGACCAGCGGAAAAGCGAAGCAAGUGGAUGUUCCGGAAGUUGUUGCCGCUACUGCCUCACCAGAGAAAAAAGAAAACCAGAUCGAAAAGAAAGGUUCCCGGGACCGCAUUCGGUGGCCGCCGCCCAAAAGGGAUAAAAGGAUGCAUUCCUGCGGCUGCAGCCGCCGCCGAAGAACCGGAACUAGAAUCAGUUGAGACAGUUGAGAAGAAGGGACGCGGUCUGAAGUCAGAUGAAAAUGGUACGGGUCCAGGGUGAUACAGUCACAGGAACGGCGAGAGCCAAGGGGGUGGAUCAGGAGUAACUGCGGAAGAGACCCAGGCCAAACGUCGCCAUGGAAACCCAAAGGUUAUCGCGAAGGAACUGGAAGAGGAGGUGGCCGCUUAGCCAAAAAGGCAGAUUCUGCAAAAAGGCAGAGGUGCCUGGAGAAACCGAUGCAAAUUCUCUGCCAAAUCCAGCAGUAGCUGCUCCGGGUGCAAAAAGGCAACAACAUCCGAGGAGGCAGAUUUAGCAAUUUCCUGGAACUGCAAUCGCUGAGCGCCAGAAAGCUGAGCAGCUGCAAGAACGUCUUCGUCGUGGGCAUGCCGAUCGAGACGCGGUCUGGCAGAUACCGGAGAAACGUCGUCGCCGGUUGGCCAAUCCAACGUCACGAGGAACGUCGCCUGAAAUUUGAGGAGGAAAUCACUAGAUUGCGGAAAAAAAACUUGCCCCGCGGGUGAAAGCGAGGAGCGUGGUGGUGUGUACGAUGGAUGGCGAGGACUUGGUGCAACUUCCACUCCUGCAGAGAUUAAUAAGAAUACGACUGGAGAAACAUCCAUGAACCGCACCCACAAUCUUCAUGCGCACCCAAGAAGGAGGGAGAAUAGAACCUUACGGGUGGCUUUCACGGGGGUCGUCGAUCAGGCAAAACGCGUUGGCGCGUGACAAAGUUGAUCUUAAUCUACGGAAGGAUCGUGGAAAUCGCGACGAUCGUGGGCCAAUUCGGUGUUCGGCGAGAAUUCGGUCGCGGUGGUCGAUGUGACGUAGAAGUAAACCUCUAAUCAGCUGAAAAUCUCUUUUCUACGGGAGUGAUAAAGUGAAUACGGCGCAAAAUAUGAUUAACAAAGUGAUUGCAGCAAAUUUGGCCAAGUUGAGUGUGAGUAGCCAAUGCAGAUGGGCUCUUUGUUGAGUUGAAAUGGGGUUAGGUUAGGCGACAUAAUAAUUGGAUAUGGUCGAGAUUAUGAGUAAUAAAAACAGCUGAAAACUUAAAAAAAAAACAACUUGGUACGAAUCGAAUCACUAUCCGAAACAGUAAGAAAAAUCUCCUUUAAAACACAAACAUGGAAAAAAUAAAAUUUGCUCCAACAUUGAACUAUGAUUUCCAGAACGCACAAAAACCAUCCUAAUCUUCAAUGUGCUUUUCUAAAUAAAAACCUUAGUUAGAGGCAAUCAGAUUUGAUCAAAAUUCAAAAUCAAAACGAUGGGUUGCAUGAUAGAUCCCGACAACUUUUUCAUCAAAAUAUUUGAGAUCCGACCUCAAAAAAAGUGAAUAAAUAACACUUAAGUGCUCAUAACUUUUGAUGGGGUUGUCAGAUCUUCAAUCUUUCGAACGCGUUAGAAAGGUCUUCCAAAUACUUUUCUAACAAAAUAUAUCAUGACGAGUUUCUUACAAAAACCACCCUUUUUAUAAUAUUUCAAACUCUACACAAAUCGUUUUUUUAGCAUAACUUUUGAAGUACUUUUCUAAACUUCAUAAUAUUAACUAGGGUCGUGUGGGACUCCAAGACGAAUCGUAUGAGACCAAAACGGUUCAAAUCGGUUAAGCCAGUCCGGAGAUAAUCGUGUGCAUAUUUUUCGGUGCACGGACUCACAUCCAGACACACUCACAGACAUUUGUUCAGAAUUUGAUUCUGAGUCGAUAGGUAUACGUGAAGGUGGGUCUACGAGGUCAAAUAAAGAAGUUCAUUUUUCGAGUGAUUUUAUAGCCUUUCCUCAUUGAGAUGAGGAAGGCAAAAACGUUACCUCUCAUUUAUAGAGUGACUACCUACAGACUUUUUUUUAAGAUUGUACAUACACCGCCUAGGGGAAAUAGAUUGAGGUUAUGUAAAUUCAGACAAUUUUUUAAACUGCUUGUAAUUUUGGAUAGGUAAGUCAGAUCUCGAAAAUUCUUAAUCCACAAGAAAAGUAAUUUCAGAACCUGAUAAAAAAAAACCUAUCCAACGAUAGUUCGCAUGGAAGAUUCCGACGAUAUCGCACAAUAUCUGAAAUUCGACCUUCAAAAAGUGUAUAAAUAAUAGAGUGUAACAAAAAUGACUUUUUGGCGGGCAUUCAAGGGUUAGUUCUGGUGGGCAUACUAAGCCCAAA